rnacentral:rRNA from 1 species
AAGGAAUAUUGGACAAUGGGCGGGAGCCUGAUCCAGCCAUGCCGCGUGAAGGAAGAAGGCGCUCAGCGUUGUAAACUUCUUUUAAAUGGGAACAAUAACUCCGACGCGCUCGGGGCUUGAGGGUACCAUUAGAAUAAGCACCGGCUAACUCCGUGCCAGCAGCCGCGGUAAUACGGAGGGUGCAAGCGUUAUCCGGAAUCACUGGGUUUAAAGGGUGCGUAGGCUGUUUGAUAAGUCAGUUGUGAAAUACCCCGGCUUAACCGGCGGUCGUGCGAUUGAUACUGUCAGACUUGAAUCAGGUUGAGGUAGGCGGAAUGUGGCAUGUAGCGGUGAAAUGCAUAGAUAUGCCAUAGAACACCGAUUGCGAAGGCAGCUUGCUGGACCUAGAUUGACGCUGAGGCACGAAAGCGUGGGGAGCAAAC